rnacentral:lncRNA from 12 species
CUCUUUUCCUCAUCUCAACUUUGGCAUAAUAUUUGCACAGAAAACAUGCUCUUCUUUGGAUGCAUGCCACACUGGAUUUUACACUAUGAGCUUCUGGGAAACCCUAAGCCCUGGAAUGAUGUUGGCAAAACCCCUUGGGUCUCUGGGAUGGCUUUUGUUUCUUCUUAACCCUGAGAAUGGAGUCCAGGCUGGGGAGGUCGCAUGCAGAUGCUGGAGAAGGAGGAAGGUUUGAAGAGGAAACUUGCUGUUACCCCAACUAAGAGGGCAGAGCUGCAGCUCAGACAGCCCUAGGAGCCGGAACUGCAGGACGUUCUUGGAAGAUGCUGGAUCAGAGUAUGGAGAGCUAAGGGGUGGGCAGGCCCCUCACCCACCCCACUCCCAAGGGACUGCAUUCAGGCCUGCUGCACACAGACAGGGCUUUUGGGGACAGUCAGUGUAAGCCCGAGGAGAAGCCACAGCCAG